AGCAGCCGCGGUAAUUCCAGCUCCAAUAGCGUAUAUUAAAGUUGUUGCAGUUAAAAAGCUCGUAGUUGAAUUUCGGGAUCAAUAUUUCGGUCAUGCCGUUGGUAUGCACUGUUAUCAUUGAUUUCUCACCUUCUAAAGAACCGUAAUGCCAUUAAUUUGGUGUUACGGGGAAUUAGGACUGUUACCUUGAAAAAGUUAGAGUGUUUAAAGCAGGCUCACGCUUGAAUACAUUAGCAUGGAAUAAUGAAAUAGGACAUCCGAUUCUAUUUUGUUGGUUUCUAGGAUCGAUGUAAUGAUUAAUAGGGAUAGUUGGGGGCAUUAGUAUUCAAUUGUCAGAGGUGAAAUUCUUGGAUUUAUUGAAGACUAACUACUGCGAAAGCAUUUGCCAAGGAUGUUUUCAUUAAUCAAGAACGAAAGUUAGGGGAUCGAAGACGAUCAGAUACCGUCGUA
rnacentral:rRNA from 1 species